GAUCCUGGCUCAGAUUGAACGCUGGCGGCGUGCUUAACACAUGCAAGUCGUACGCGAAAGGGGCUUCGGUCCCGAGUAAAGUGGCGCACGGGUGAGUAACACGUGGAUAAUCUGCCUCUAUGAUGGGGAUAACAGUUGGAAACGACUGCUAAUACCGAAUACGCUCAUAAUGAACUUUGUGAGGAAAGGUGGCCUCUGCUUGCAAGCUAUCGCAUAGAGAUGAGUCCGCG
rnacentral:rRNA from 1 species